rnacentral:rRNA from 1 species
GCGUGGGUAACCUGCCUCAUACAGGGGGAUAACAGUUAGAAAUGACUGCUAAUACCGCAUAAGACCACAGCACCGCAUGGUGCAGGGGUAAAAACUCCGGUGGUAUGAGAUGGACCCGCGUCUGAUUAGGUAGUUGGUGGGGUAACGGCCUACCAAGCCGACGAUCAGUAGCCGACCUGAGAGGGUGACCGGCCACAUUGGGACUGAGACACGGCCCAAACUCCUACGGGAGGCAGCAGUGGGGAAUAUUGCACAAUGGGGGAAACCCUGAUGCAGCGACGCCGCGUGAGCGAUGAAGUAUUUCGGUAUGUAAAGCUCUAUCAGCAGGGAAGAAAAUGACGGUACCUGACUAAGAAGCACCGGCUAAAUACGUGCCAGCAGCCGCGGUAAUACGUAUGGUGCAAGCGUUAUCCGGAUUUACUGGGUGUAAAGGGAGCGUAGACGGAGUGGCAAGUCUGAUGUGAAAACCCGGGGCUCAACCCCGGGACUGCAUUGGAAACUGUCAAUCUAGAGUACCGGAGAGGUAAGCGGAAUUCCUAGUGUAGCGGUGAAAUGCGUAGAUAUUAGGAGGAACACCAGUGGCGAAGGCGGCUUACUGGACGGUAACUGACGUUGAGGCUCGAAAGCGUGGGG